rnacentral:rRNA from 1 species
UACGGAGGGGGCUAGCGUUGUUCGGAAUUACUGGGCGUAAAGCGCACGUAGGCGGCUUUGUAAGUUAGAGGUGAAAGCCCAGGGCUUAACUCUGGAAUUGCCUUUAAGACUGCAUCGCUAGAAUCGUGGAGAGGUGAGUGGAAUUCCGAGUGUAGAGGUGAAAUUCGUAGAUAUUCGGAAGAACACCAGUGGCGAAGGCGACUCACUGGACACGUAUUGACGCUGAGGUGCGAAAGCGUGGGGAGCGAACAGG